rnacentral:rRNA from 1 species
GACGAACGCUGGCGGCGUGCUUAACACAUGCAAGUCGAACGAAGUGGCGAACGGGUGAGUAACGCGUAAUCAACCUGCUCUUCAGAGGGGGACAAAAGUGGGAAACGACUGCUAAUACCGAAAAGUGAAGGAGGGGAGUGCGUCGGAUUAGCUAGUUGGAGGGGGAACGGCCCACCAAGGCGAUGAUCAGUAGCCGGUCUGAGAGGAUGAACGGCCACAUUGGGACUGAGACACGGCCCAGACUCCUACGGGAGGCAGCAGUGGGGAAUCUUCCGCAAUGGACGAAAGUCUGACGGAGCAACGCCGCGUGAGUGAUGACGGCCUUCGGGUUGUAAAGCUCUGUUAAUCGGGACGCGGUACCGGAAUAGAAAGCCACGGCUAACUACGUGCCAGCAGCCGCGGUAAUAC